GGGUUAGGGUAGGGUUAGGAUAGGGUUAGGAGUAGCGUUAGGGUACCCCUAACCUACCCCUAACCCAACCCUGAUCCUAACCCUACCCUAACCAU